UAAUAAUAAUAAUAAUAAUGUAUAUUAAUAACAGUACAUACACCCUUUUAAAUACAAAUAUACAUGAGUAACAGUAACAAUUUAAUACACAAGAGUACUAAAUACACAAGAGUAAUAGUAACAGUUUCAUACACAAGAGUAUUAAAUAUACAAGAGUAACAGUUUAAUACACAAGAGUACUAAAUACACAAGAGUAAAUACACGACUAACAGUAACAUUUAAUACACAAGAGUACUAAAUACACAAGAGUAAUAGUAACAGUUUCAUACACAAGAGUAUUAAAUAUACAAGAGUAACAGUUUAAUACACAAGAGUACUAAAUACACAAGAGUAAUAGUAACAGUUUCAUACACAAGAGUAA